UGCAGUCGAACGGCAGCGCGGGAGCAAUCCUGGCGGCGAGUGGCGAACGGGUGAGUAAUACAUCGGAACGUGCCCAAUCGUGGGGGAUAACGCAGCGAAAGCUGUGCUAAUACCGCAUACGAUCUACGGAUGAAAGCAGGGGACCGCAAGGCCUUGCGCGAAUGGAGCGGCCGAUGGCAGAUUAGGUAGUUGGUGGGGUAAAGGCUCACCAAGCCAACGAUCUGUAGCUGGUCUGAGAGGACGACCAGCCACACUGGGACUGAGACACGGCCCAGACUCCUACGGGAGGCAGCAGUGGGGAAUUUUGGACAAUGGGCGCAAGCCUGAUCCAGCCAUGCCGCGUGCAGGAUGAAGGCCUUCGGGUUGUAAACUGCUUUUGUACGGAACGAAAAGGUUCUUUCUAAUAAAGAGAGCUCAUGACGGUACCGUAAGAAUAAGCACCGGCUAACUACGUGCCAGCAGCCGCGGUAAUACGUAGGGUGCAAGCGUUAAUCGGAAUUACUGGGCGUAAAGCGUGCGCAGGCGGUGAUGUAAGACAGUUGUGAAAUCCCCGGGCUCAACCUGGGAACUGCAUCUGUGACUGCAUCGCUGGAGUGCGGCAGAGGGGGAUGGAAUUCCGCGUGUAGCAGUGAAAUGCGUAGAUAUGCGGAGGAACACCGAUGGCGAAGGCAAUCCCCUGGGC
rnacentral:rRNA from 1 species